rnacentral:rRNA from 1 species
AUGAACGCUGGCGGCAGGCCUAACACAUGCAAGUCGAGCGGUAACACAGGGAGCUUGCUCCUGGGUGACGAGCGGCGGACGGGUGAGUAAUGUCUGGGAAACUGCCUGAUGGAGGGGGAUAACUACUGGAAACGGUAGCUAAUACCGCAUAACGUCUUCGGACCAAAGUGGGGGACCUUCGGGCCUCAUGCCAUCAGAUGUGCCCAGAUGGGAUUAGCUAGUAGGUGGGGUAAUGGCUCACCUAGGCGACGAUCCCUAGCUGGUCUGAGAGGAUGACCAGCCACACUGGAACUGAGACACGGUCCAGACUCCUACGGGAGGCAGCAGUGGGGAAUAUUGCACAAUGGGCGCAAGCCUGAUGCAGCCAUGCCGCGUGUAUGAAGAAGGCCUUCGGGUUGUAAAGUACUUUCAGCGAGGAGGAAGGCAUUAAGGUUAAUAACCUUAGUGAUUGACGUUACUCGCAGAAGAAGCACCGGCUAACUCCGUGCCAGCAGCCGCGGUAAUACGGAGGGUGCAAGCGUUAAUCGGAAUUACUGGGCGUAAAGCGCACGCAGGCGGUCUGUCAAGUCGGAUGUGAAAUCCCCGGGCUCAACCUGGGAACUGCAUUCGAAACUGGCAGGCUAGAGUCUUGUAGAGGGGGGUAGAAUUCCAGGUGUAGCGGUGAAAUGCGUAGAGAUCUGGAGGAAUACCGGUGGCGAAGGCGGCCCCCUGGACAAAGACUG